GAUGUAGUUCCUGACUCUCCCCGGAGCGGAAGUGACGUCGGCAGAGGAGCCGGAGCCGGGCUGUGAAGGAGCGUUGGCCGCUGCGGCUCAGCCUGGCUCGCGCGGGGCCGUUGGAGCCUCUCCCGGGCCGGAGAAGGGUAUGUGACUGAGAUCAGGACUCUUAUCGUACUGAGCGUGGCCCUGUUCUGACAGCUGCUGCAGAGACCCCAGGCUACAAAGUAACGUCCACGUUUGUUCCAGAUUAUCCCAUCCUCCCAGGGGGAAGGGAAUGGCUGCAAUGGAGCUGGCUCAGCUACUUAGGUUGGUUAAAGUUCAUCAUGGAGGAGCCUUGGUUCACUUAGGCCUAGAGCAGGGGGGCUUCAUUGACACUCUUGGUCUUCCACCCCCCCGAGUUACCUAGAGUUAUGCCUAGUGACACCAACAUGUGUGUGUGU